GGUCUGGUUGACCUUUGAACACAUCUUGGACGAGUUUGAACUUGCAAGGCUGCUUCUCAAGUUUGGUUCUCAAGUCUGGUUCUCAAGUCUGGUUCUAUGUUUAUAUCAAUACUCUUAAGAUGUUAAAAGCGGAGCUAAACCUGCAAUAUAGGAUGGAAGAAGAGUACUGGAGAACCAAGAGCAGAAUACAGUGGCUGCAAGCAUGGGACAGGAACAACAAAUUCUUUCACUCAAAGACAAAUGCAAAGAAAAAGCUAUAAUAGGAUUAUUCACUUGGCAAAUGAUGAAGGAUGCAUAUACACGGAUCCAGGUGAUAUUCAAUCUGAGAUUAAAGCAUAUUUCCAAAAGAUUUAUGCCACCGAAGCCUGCGAUAUUCCUACUGAUCUGAUUCAAGGAAUACCCAGAGUAAUUAGCGAAGAGAUCAAUAAACAACUAACCAAAGAGAAGUAACAGAGCAAGAGAUUGAAGAGGCAGCUUUUUGCUAUAAACCCGGAUAAAUUCCUGGACCUGACGGCAUGAACGCAUGCUUUCUCAGACAUCAUUGGGAUGUCAUCAAGCAAGGACUAAUCAGAGAGAUUACAACUUAUAUGAGAAGGUUUUGGUGGUGGUCCUCCUUUAAAGAUAAAAACAAGAUUGCAUGGAUAAGCUGGAGGAAAAUUACGAGAUAAUAAA